CUUUUCUUACUCGUCAUGACUCCUCUCCCACACUAUGAGAAAUCAAGUUUUAGAAGAAUAUUUGAAGACUGACAGUACCUGGUUGCGUGGGCUCACCGUAAUAGAGCUGGAAUGUGGGCAAACUGGCUAGAGCUGGGGUUGUCACCUUGGAUCAGUGGGUGAGAAUUGUGUGCUGUUGUUGGUACAGAAACAAGAUACAAAGCAUCUGGGUUCUUGAUGAGCAUGGGGUCAUCAUUCCAGCCCCAGACUGCCUGUGUUUGUGUGUAAAAGAAAUAAACCAUCAUGUACAAGCCA